UAUGGCAUUCACAAUUUGUUCGUUAAUAUUAAUAUUUACAUCUUCAUGCAAAUGAUGAAGUCCAUCACUUAAGAAGGCACGUGCAACAAUUUUAUUUCUAAAAUAAAUUUCACAGAAGUCGUUAUUAAAAUAAAAUUUAUAAUUAUCCUGUACCAGCAUAAAUAUAGAAACUAAGUUUCUACUGGCUCUAGGUAAUCUUUUAAAAGCAAAUUAAUUCCUAACGAUAAUUGCAAAGGAUAAAUUCUGAUGGCUACAACAGCAACUCUUACCCCAUUGCCGACUCAAAGAGUAAUCUCGCCUUCCCUUAGCCCUCUAACUUCUUUCAGACCC
rnacentral:lncRNA from 1 species